GGCUGAAUGGUCAAAGUAGUUCAACUACAGUAUCACUAGCCUGUCAACUCUGAACCCUCACAUGGUAGGUGUGUUUAACUUCAAUCUCAAUUGACUAGAGUUGCUAGUUUCUCUGUUGAAGGUGAUGUUUUCACCAGGCACUCUGGCUGUCUCCACAAAUAAAAACCGGCAGCCAAGAUGUAGAAAAUCAGGCUGAAAGUGGUGCAACACCAAAAAUCAAUCAAUCUACUUUCAUCAAGAUAUUCUUCAACUAUGCUUCUUGUAAAAU
rnacentral:lncRNA from 1 species